GGCGUGCCAUUGGAAAUGACCGCGCUAAAGCCUCGCUCCCUCGCUGCCCAGGCACAGACAGCCCUUGCACGGCAGGAGGGUCGUACUCACCCGCUCUAAGCAUCGCCUAGCCGGAGGAAAUAGAGAGCCCCAGGAGAAAGGGAGAAACAGCACCUCUAGUUCGAGGGUCUUUCCCAGAAGUGGAAGAGCUUCAAGCAAGACCAGAACUCCCCCCACCUGCUCAAAACACUCGCUCAAACCACUUCUCUAUCUUGAUAGCACAACUCCUGUUUGCUGGAUUGAAGAUAUGAUUGCAUGCCAAGGUUUUAGACCAGCACACAGAGAGAGUUGUGUGCAGUCUUGGAGGGCUUCUUUUGGCACUGCAUCCUGACACCAAGAAAAUCUUCAAAUGGUGGCAGAAGCUGGAGUUAAGGUGGGUGCAUUCUGCCCUUCUUCCAGGGACCACUAUAGGGAAAUCUAUGAAAACAUCUAUAGAAAAAACAGACUGCUUGACCCCUCCAGGGAUAGGACCCAUCCAGGCUGCAAGACCCCUCUCUCCUCUGUGAAGGGAAUGGAGGAGGGUGAUGGAGUCAACUAGCUAAUCCAGGAUAUGUCUUGGCAUGCCCCUAGACCUUCCAGGUUUGAAUGAUUAAAUCUCCUCUUGCUUGAUCAAAGCAGUUAAAAAGAGCAAGUGUCCCAUCAGAGUUCACCCAGACCAGAGCACAAGGGCGGAAAGAUCCCAAGCUUCAACUCUUAUAGCUCCAUUGAAUGACAGGCUGGCACUGUGUUCAUGUUCAGAAGCAAAAUUGACAUUUUCCUCUCCCUGAAAGAACACAACUUCGAGCAUAGACUCAUGCUGAUAUGGCUGUACUCCUGCCCUUCAGAUCAUUCACAUGGCCCUGGCUCAGGCAGAUUUACUGUACUCCCCAGUGUGAGAUUAAUAGAUCCAGGACAGCCCCAGCAUCUCCACUGAGGGAGUUCUUUCCACUGCAAAAGUUUUGGGUGUUUCCACAGACAGCAUGCAUGCUCUCUGCCAUGCCUGAAAUGGAGACAAAAGUCAGUGCUCACCCCCAAAGGCACA